rnacentral:rRNA from 1 species
UACGAAGGGGGCUAGCGUUGCUCGGAAUCACUGGGCGUAAAGCGCACGUAGGCGGAUUGCUAAGUCAGGGGUGAAAUCCUGGAGCUCAACUCCAGAACUGCCCUUGAUACUGGCGGUCUCGAGUCCGGGAGAGGUGAGUGGAACUGCGAGUGUAGAGGUGAAAUUCGUAGAUAUUCGCAAGAACACCAGUGGCGAAGGCGGCUCACUGGCCCGGUACUGACGCUGAGGUGCGAAAGCGUGGGGAGCAAAUAGG